rnacentral:rRNA from 1 species
UACAGAGGUCUCAAGCGUUGUUCGGAUUCAUUGGGCGUAAAGGGUGCGUAGGCGGCGCGGUAAGUCGGGUGUGAAAACUCGGGGCUCAACCCCGAGCCUGCAGUCGAUACGGGCAGACUAGAGUGCUGUAGGGGAGACUGGAAUUCCUGGUGUAGCGGUGAAAUGCGCAGAUAUCAGGAGGAACACCGGUGGCGAAGGCGGGUCUCUGGGCAGUAACUGACGCUGAGGAGCGAAAGCGUGGGGAGCGAACAGGA